rnacentral:lncRNA from 1 species
UGUGGUUUGUGACUCAGCGCUGGUUCACUUCUCUGCACUGGGGUGUGGUGGGGGUGAUGCUGCUUUUAGUCAAAGCAGCUACAAAACUCCGAGAGCAAGUCGGCCGUUUUCUACAUCUGGGCCGGCCGGGCUCCUUCUCGGAUUUAUCGCAGGCGGGCAGCCGCUGACCCCUCCCUUUGCUAUUGGAGGUGGCUGCCCCGCCCCAGAGGCGCUCCUGCCACCCGCCCCUCCGAGGGGGGUGCCUCCAGCCACUUGUCCACAGCCUCGGGAGUCCCCACAGCAGAGGCAGCCGUGGGAGGAACAUGGAAACGGAGCAAGGGGAGGGACAGGAGCUCUCAGCCCUGCCUGCAGGAGCGCCCAGAGACACGCAUCACAGAACUGGGUCAGGGUGCUAGGGAUCCAGGACAGGAGGGCCUCGCAGAUGCCCAGAAGGUUCGGAGGAAGCAGCUGCAGUUUCCGGAAUGUGCCAGGCUCCCUGAUGCUUCUGAGCGUCUGCAAGUGUGGCCCUCCUGCCUGAAACACCCCCACCCUCCUGCUGGUCUGGCCACCUCCCAGUCAGCCUUGUCCAGUUACCUUUUCCUGCCUCACUUCCCCACAGAGCGAGCAUGGCUCCUCUCAGCUCUCCCAGCCCCUCACCCUUGGGCCUCUAGUUUGGCAGCUGUCACACGAGCUACAGUCACGACUGGUCUGUCACCCAUUGCAGACGGGGCUCCUGGAAGGGUGAUGCUAUGGCUCCCCCGGCCUCUAGCACGGGGCCCAGCACAGAAUGGGAGCUGA